rnacentral:rRNA from 1 species
GACGAACGCUGGCGGCGUGCCUAAUACAUGCAAGUCGAGCGGAUGACGGAGGAGCUUGCUCCUCCUGAUUCAGCGGCGGACGGGUGAGUAACACGUGGGCAACCUGCCCUGUAGAUUGGGAUAACUCCGGGAAACCGGGGCUAAUACCGAAUAAUCCUUCGGACCUCAUGGUCCGAUGUUGAAAGACGGCAUCUCGCUGUCACUACAGGAUGGGCCCGCGGCGCAUUAGCUAGUUGGUGAGGUAACGGCUCACCAAGGCCACGAUGCGUAGCCGACCUGAGAGGGUGAUCGGCCACACUGGGACUGAGACACGGCCCAGACUCCUACGGGAGGCAGCAGUAGGGAAUCUUCCACAAUGGACGAAAGUCUGAUGGAGCAACGCCGCGUGAGUGAAGAAGGUUCUCGGAUCGUAAAACUCUGUUGUGAGGGAAGAACAAGUACCGGAGUAACUGCCGGUGCCUUGACGGUACCUCAUUAGAAAGCCACGGCUAACUACGUGCCAGCAGCCGCCGCCGUAA